UUUUUUGAGAGUUUGAUCCUAGCUCAGGAUGAACGCUGGCGGCAUGUCUUAGGCAUGCAAGUCGAACGGUUCGGCGCAAGCCGGACAGUGGCAGACGGGAGAGUAACACAUUGGUAAUCUACCCUCGAGUCGGGCAUAACCCUGCGAAAGCGGGGCUAAUUCCCGAUGGUCUUGGCUAACGAAAGUUAGUUAAGUAAAGUUUCGGCGCUCGAGGAGGAGCCUAUGUCCCAUCAGCUUGUUGGUAGGGUAAUGGCCUACCAAGGCNNACUCCUACGGGAGGCUGCAGUCAAGAAUAUUCCGCAAUGGCCGAAAGGCUGACGGAGCAAUGCCGCGUGCCGGAGGAAGCCCUUCGGGGUGUAAACGGCUUUUGCCGGGGAACAAGCCCCGCCCCUUUUCUGACAAGUAUUAUUACUAAUCAAUGGCCAUAAGGCGAAGCCGCCUUACGGCUAUAAUUUUGAUAUUGGUUAUAAAAUUGGUUGAAAAAGGGCGGGGUUGAGCGUACCCGGCGAAUAAGGGGCUGCUAACUUCGUGCCAGCAGCAGCGGUAAUACGAAGGCCCCAAGCGUUAUCCGGAUUUAUUGGGUGUAAAGGGUCCGCAGGCGGUUUGUUAAGUCUCUGUUUAAAUCCCGAUGCUCAACAUCGGAUCGGGCAGAGAUACUGGCAGACUAGAGACCGGGAGAGGCCAGUGGAACGGCUGGUGUAGGGGUAAAAUCCAUUAAUAUCAGCCGGAACACCAAAAGCGAAGGCAGCUGGCUAGAACGGUUCUGACGCUAAGGGACGAAAGCGUGGGUCGCGAACGGGAUUAGAUACCCCGGUAGUCCACGCCCUAAACGAUGGAUACUAGGGAUUGGAAGUAUCGACCCUUCCAGUCUCGCCUCCAACUUAGCUAACGCGUUAAGUAUCCCACCUGGGAAGUACGGCCGCAAGGCUAAAACUCAAANNGGUGCUAGACAGGUGCUGCAUGGUUGUCGUCAGAUCGUGCCGUGAGGUGUACCCUUAAUUGGGGUAACGAUCGCAACCCCUGUCCUAUGUUACAUUUCUCAUAGGAGACUGCCCCUCACCUUGCGCAUAAGCUUAGGCUUGUGAGCAGAGUGAGGGGAGGAAGGCGGGGAUGACGUCAAAUCAGCAUGGCCUUUAUGUCUUGGGCUACACACGUGCUACAAUGGUUAGUACAACGGGCAGCAAAAUCGCAAGAUUGAGCUAAUCCCUUAAAACUAAUCUUAGUUCGGAUUGAGGGCUGC
rnacentral:rRNA from 1 species